UACAGGGGGUGCAAACGUUGCUCGGAAUUAUUGGGCGUAAAGCGCGCGUAGGCGGCUACUUAAGUCGGAUGUGAAAGCCCUUGGCUCAACUGAGGAAGUGCACCCGAAACUGAGUGGCUAGAGUACGAAAGAGGGUCGCGGAAUUCCCGGUGUAGAGGUGAAAUGCGUAGAUAUCGGGAGGAACACCUGUGGCGAAAGCGGCGCACUGGACCACAACUGACGCUGAGGCGCGAAAGCUAGGGGAGCAAACAGG
rnacentral:rRNA from 1 species